rnacentral:rRNA from 1 species
GCAUAUCAUAGCGAGGAAAAGAACCAACAGGGAUUGCCCUAGUAACGGCGAGUGAAGCGGCAACAGCUCAAAUUUGAAAUCUGGCUCUUUUAGGGUCCGAGUUGUAAUUUGCAGAGGGCGCUUUGGCAUUGGCAGCGGUCCAAGUUCUUUGGAACAGGACGUCACAGAGGGUGAGAAUCCCGUACGUGGUCGCUAGCCUUUGCCGUGUAAAGCCCCUUCGACGAGUCGAGUUGUUUGGGAAUGCAGCUCUAAAUGGGAGGUAAAUUUCUUCUAAAGCUAAAUACUGGCCAGAGACCGAUAGCGCACAAGUAGAGUGAUCGAAAGAUGAAAAGCACUUUGGAAAGAGAGUCAAAUAGCACGUGAAAUUGUUGAAAGGGAAGCGCUUGCAGCCAGACUUGCCUGUAGUUGCUUAUCCGGACUUUUGUCCGGUGCACUCUUCUGCGGGCAGGCCAGCAUCAGUUUGGGCGGUUGGAUAAAGGUCUCUGUCAUGUACCUCUCUUCGGGGAGGCCUUAUAGGGGAGACGACAUGCAACCAGCCUGGACUGAGGUCCGCGCAUUUGCUAGGAUGCUGGCGUAAUGGCUGUAAGCGGCCCGUCUUGAAACACGGACCAAGGAGUCUAACAUCUAUGCGAGUGUUUGGGUGUCAAGCCCAGACGCGUAAUGAAAGUGAACGGAGGUGGGAACCCUUUGGGUGCACCAUCGACCGAUCCUGAUGUCUUCGGAUGGAUUUGAGUAAGAGCAUGGCUGUUGGGACCCGAAAGAUGGUGAACUAUGCUUGAAUAGGGUGAAGCCAGAGGAAACUCUGGUGGAGGCUCGCAGCGGUUCUGACGUGCAAAUCGAUCGUCAAAUUUGGGCAUAGGGGCGAAAGACUAAAUCGAACUAUCUAGUAGCUGGUCUGCGA